rnacentral:ncRNA from 1 species
UACAAAGGUUUCCUCGGACCAGAUAGACAUUGGUCCUCGAGUGCAAAGGUAGAAGAGAGCUUCACUGCAAGACUCAUCUAUCGAGCAGAGAUGAAAGUCGGUCUUAAUUAUUCGAUGGUGCCAAGUGAAAGGACCAUCACUUAA